UACGGAGGGUGCAAGCGUUAAUCGGAAUUACUGGGCGUAAAGCGUGCGCAGGCGGUUUGUUAAGUCUGCUGUGAAAUCCCCGAGCUCAACUUGGGAAUUGCAGUGGAUACUGGCAAGCUGGAGUACGGUAGAGGAAGGUGGAAUUCCAGGUGGAGCGGUGAAAUGCGUAGAGAUCUGGAGGAACACCAAAGGCGAAGGCAAUCUUCUGGAGGACACCUGACGCUAAGGGACGAAAGCUAGGGGAGCGAACGGG
rnacentral:rRNA from 1 species